AACAAGUUUUUAAGUGAAAAGUGAAAAAAAAUUGCUCAACCUGCGAAUUUGAUGUAUAAAAUUAUUUUUCCCUCCACUAAUUUCAUUGACCCGCUUUUUUGUUAUUUUAGUGAAUAUAAUAUUCCAAAGACCCAUUUCCUUUCUCAUAUAACCCAAAUCAAAGGAUGGGCACUACUGUCUUCUUCUCCAAUAAUCAAAAUCAGAGUCCUAAAAUUCUAGAACUUCUGUGAUUCCUUCGUCUUCGACAAUAAUUUUUGAGUUCCGGUGAAGAAAUCAGUUUCAGUGAUAAGCCACAGUGAUCUCUUUUACAGUGUGAGUUUUCAUCUUCAGUGGUCUUCUUCUUCAAAAUUAAGCUUCUGCAGAUAAAGGUGUACUAUAUUAAGCUUUCAUGUUCUGAAAAACGACAAUGUAUGCAUCUGUUUCAUCACCUUAUGACCAUUGUGAUUUCUCUCAUUUUAUGGCUGCUGAGAAGUACGUUUUCGACAUCUCUAUCCUCCAAGGUAUAAAAACUUUACAUUUCCUUUCAGUGGAACAUUUUAUUUUUGUUGCCAGAUCUUUUCUAGCAAUUUGUUAUGAAAAGCCAAGCAUAAUACAACUCUUUGUCUAUACAACAUACUACUGUUCCAGAUCCUUUCUUCCUUUCCUCAACCUAGUGAGUUCACCUAAUAUUAUCGAAGUUGUUGUGAAUGAAUAUGUAGUAGAUACAGUGUGUCCCCUGUUAUAUCAAUCUCUAAAAACCAAGUUCUAAAACUGAUAGGAGCAACAUUACACCCAACAAAAUAAAAAAUUACAGGAAAUCAUGCCCUUACAUAAUUUUUUUCAACGUUCAACAGAUAAUGAAUGAAUUAUAGGAAAUGUGAAUAAUAUUUAUUGAUUGCUAAACUGCCAAAACAAAAGAUAAUUAACUCAUGUUCACUAGAUAGAUUCAACUUCUUCAUCAAGUUCUUUUGGACGAACAAAACUGGAAUAUUGCAUCCUUACAGUAGAAUGGAAAAUAUAUGAAUACAAUUAUACAAUAAUGAGCUAUACCUUUCGGUGAAAAAUAAAAAAGUGCAUAGAUGCUUGUCAAUUCAGAAGCUAAAGGCGACUUAAAUUAAAUCCUAACUUUGUCCUCAUAGCACACUUUAUGCAAUCAGAUGAUUUAUUUUGUUUAGAAUUAAUCUAAAUGUACUUAGACUUAAAGCAUAACCAACUUGAAGGUCAGCUCAAGUGAUCUUGAAAAGAAACAAAGUAGUCACCAUAAUCUAUUUUGUUUUGUGUGUAGUAAGGCAAUACCUAAAAUGUACUAUAGUAUAAAUUGAGGAAUUAAACUAUAAAGUAAAAUAUAGGUUAUGUAACUAAAUUGCACGUAUCUAAUGACCCGUAGAAGAUAAUUUACAAUCAAGGUUUUGUUAAAAACAAAAAGGUAAAAAAAUAUCUUGAAACUUUGAAAGGUAAAAUUCUGUUGAUACUGCUUGUACUCAUGAAUUGUUUUCUUUUAUGUUUUGCUUAUGGAACAUAGGAUAUUCAAUGGAUGUUGGAGAUAAAAGUUUGAUGGAUCUCCGAAGAUCCACCGAUGAGUAUAUCCAUGGAAUUAAUCAUUUCCUAGGUAAGGCAUUUGAACGAGCUUCCCAAGGCGAUGAAAUAUUAUGUCCUUGUAAGAAGUGUUUUAAUCGUUAUUUGGAUUGUCGAAAUGUGGUGGAGGAUCACUUGAUUUGUCAUGGGUUUGUUCAUGGAUACACCAAAUUGGUUUGCCGUUGAGAAGGGUUUUCCUUACGAAAUACGCCACAUCUAACCAAUGCUGAUAAGACUUUUGAAAGACAAUACGGUAUUGAUCAACUACUUCAAGAUGCUUUUAGAAAUGUAACAGAUGACUUGAGGCAUGAAGGAGUAAGAGAGGGACCAUCUGAAGAUGCAAAGAGAUCUUUAAAUUAGUUGAAUAAGGGAAACAAGACUUGUACUCGGGGUGUAUGAAAUUUUUCUAAGUUGAAUUUCACCAUUCGGUUAUACUUGUUUAAAUGCAUUCACAAAUUGAGUAAUGUAGUCUUUUCAGAUUUGUUAGAUUUGAUAAAAGAGGUAUUCCCUUUGCUUAGAUACCUGAGUCUUUCUACAAGGCAAAAAAGGUAAUAAAAGAUUUGGGUCUUCAUUAUGAAAAAAUUCAUGUAUGUCCUAACGAUUGCAUGUUAUUCUAGAAUGACACUGCAAAGUUAGACAAUUGCUCAAUGUAUGGAUCUUCUAGUUAGAAGAAUGUUCGUUAUGA